rnacentral:rRNA from 1 species
AUUGAACGCUGGCGGCAGGCUUAACACAUGCAAGUCGAGCGGGGUGAUGGUGCUUGCACUAUCACUUAGCGGCGGACGGGUGAGUAAUGCUUAGGAAUCUGCCUAUUAGUGGGGGGCAACAUUUCGAAAGGAAUGCUAAUACCGCAUACGUCCUACGGGAGAAAGCAGGGGAUCUUCGGACCUUGCGCUAAUAGAUGAGCUUAGGUCGGAUUAGCUAGUUGGUGGGGUAAAGGCCUACCAAGGCGACGAUCUGUAGCGGGUCUGAGAGGAUGAUCCGCCACACUGGGACUGAGACACGGCCCAGACUCCUACGGGAGGCAGCAGUGGGGAAUAUUGGACAAUGGGCGGAAGCCUGAUCCAGCCAUGCCGCGUGUGUGAAGAAGGCCUUAUGGUUGUAAAGCACUUUAAGCGAGGAGGAGGCUACUUUAGUUAAUACCUAGAGAUAGUGGACGUUACUCGCAGAAUAAGCACCGGCUAACUCUGUGCCAGCCGCCGCGGUAAAAC